rnacentral:lncRNA from 1 species
CAUUAUAAGUUAUGGGAGUGACUCAUCCUUCUUGAGCACUGCUGUGUGACUUUUCUAAAUCAGCCUCUGAUCACAUCCAAGUCCGUGCUACAGAGAAUUCUUUCAGCUACACUGUAUGCAUGCAAGUGGCAACCGGAAUGUAGUGCAGUCACAUUUUAUCACAUUCAGUUUUAAAAGACUGAGCUCUUUGUAGACUGCAUGAUCAUUUACAAAUUGUGCCUGCUCUUUUCAUCAAAGAUUUAUGUGAAAUAUUGUAAAAAUGUUUCAUAAAUAGUGGACUUGAGCUCAGGAGGAAAACCUGUGAAUGCCUGUCUGUACCUGCAGCUGUUUUGGAGAAAAAGACCCAAAGGCAAGUAAAGAUAUAUUUCUAUUGGACGGGGUCACUUCAGCAAACAGCCAGCUCAGGAAGGGUGAAGUUCACUCCUGUGCAGAGGGCACAGGUCAUUUCCCAUACUUCUGCUCAAGAAGAGGAAAAAGCCCAAUCAACUCCAGAAACCCCUAGUGGCCAGAAGGAGGAGCUGCAACAUAAAGCACUACUUCGAAAUUAUCUGCAGAGGAGAUACUGAAAGGGAGAGGAUGUUUUCUAUUCCCCUGUACAGUACUUUAAAUGAAGGUUUGUGAGAAGAGAAAGUGAUUUCCUGCUAUUACCGCAUUAAGACUUUCCACUAAAAAACAACAACUGCAUAACCCCGCGGGAAAAGAAAGAGGCAUCAGUAGCAUCUGCUUUGGCAAUUCUUGUAUAGCCUGUCAUGCCAGUAAUGUUGGAUCAAAUUAUAGUAUGAAUCACCCCCGAGAUUCCUCUAACGGAAGCCAUUUGAAAUUUUUUUACUUUUUUGUCGAAAAAUGUAAUUUCACCUAAACGUCCCAUGGAAACAGUUCAGUUUCAACAACACCUUUCCAUUUUUCAAUGAAACAAUUCAAAACAAAUGUUCAUUUUGUUUAGAAUUUUUCAUAAAAAAUCAAAAGUUUCCAUGAACGUGUUGAAAUGAAAUCAUGUUGUCAAUAUUUAUCCU